rnacentral:rRNA from 1 species
GAUGAACGCUGGCGGCGUGCCUAAUACAUGCAAGUCGAGCGAACAGACGAGGAGCUUGCUCCUCUGACGUUAGCGGCGGACGGGUGAGUAACACGUGGAUAACCUACCUAUAAGACUGGGAUAACUUCGGGAAACCGGAGCUAAUACCGGGGAAUAUAUUGAACCGCAUGGUUCAAUAGUGAAAGACGGUUUUGCUGUCACUUGUAGAUGGAUCCGCGCCGCAUUAGCUAGUUGGUAAGGUAACGGCUUACCAAGGCGACGAUGCGUAGCCGACCGGAGAGGGUGAUCGGCCACACUGGAACGGAGACACGGUCCAGACGCCUACGGGAGGAAGCAGUAGGGAAUAUUCCGCAAUGGGCGAAAGACUGACGGAGCAACGCCGCGUGAGUGAGGAAGGUCUUCGGAUCGUAAAACUCUGUUAUUAGGGAAGAACAAAUGUGUACGUAACUAUGCACGGCUUGACGGUACCUAAUCAGAAAGCCACGGCUAACUACGUG